ensembl:lncRNA
GUGGCUGUGGGACCAGGCCCCUGGGGCCUCCUGGGACAGCUGGGGACAGAGAGGGGCAGCUCAGGUUUCAUCACUGCUUGGUGUGUGACCUGGGCUCCACCCAGGCUGCAGAAUAAUGCCAGGCCUUAGCCCCUGCGGUGUAACACCUUUCACCAAGAAAUUGCUGUCCCGCUCCUGUUCCACAGGGACUGCUCUGGCCUGGACUUUGGGUCCUGUGGCCUAGAAGUAAAGGGACCAGAUUUUAGUCAGGCCUCAGGACAGAAGCCAAGCCAGUCAAAUCAGGAGGAGGUGCGUGAGGCACAGCCAGAUGGGCUGCCGUUGGUUGCAAGCCUGGAAGAGUCAGAAAGAAACCUGAGGCUGUCAAGGAAGCUUGAAGGUGGGUCUUCAACUCUGGGCCCAGAAGGAGCAUCACCUCCACCUGGCCUUGUCUGGUUCAUCUACAGCCUGCAGGAAGAGAGGGGGAGGGGGGAGAGGGGGAAAGGGAGAGAGGAAGAGAGGGGAGAGGAAGACAGGGGAGAGGAAGAGAGAGAGAGGGAGAGGGACAGAGGGAGAGAGGGAGAGGAAGAGAGGAGGGAGGGAGGGAGAGAGAGAGAGAGAGAGAGAGAGAAUGAAUAAAUGUGAAUAUGAGAACACUGCCCUGCUCCAAGCUCACCUCACACCUCUGUCUGGAGAAAGUGGAAUGGGAAGAAGCGGGUGGCAUCCCAAUCAUCCCAGGGUGCCCUGCUGCCAAGAAGACCUUGGGUGUCCAUCCUUCUAGUGCAGUAGCACCACCACCCCCACCCUCCCUUCAGGUGAAGGUUGCAAACUUUGAAAUCAGGAUGGGCUACAUAAUUUGCAGAGCCCAGUGCAAAUAAAAAUGCAGGGCACUUGUUCAAGAAAUAUUAAGAAUGCAUUAGGCCAAAGGCAGACUCCUUGUAAGCAUGUGGCUCUGCCUGACUGCACAUGUGGCAUUCCCAUGAAGCUGGUCUGGCCUGAAACUGUCCUCCAGGGGAGUCCUGUUAAGGUGUGGGAGAAAGUGUGCAAAGCUCUGCCAAGGGAAAUAGCUGUCAUUUUGGAAGCCAUCAGGAUCUUUUAGUGCAGUCAAGCUGAACCAUGGAGGUCAUCACAGUUCCAGACAGGUUGAAAAGCUCUGAUUUGUCCCCUCUAGGGUGGGAGCUAAGGACUGGAGAGGCUGCAGAGCCAGCAGGUAACUCCGAAGGCCAGGGUGCAAAUCCUCCCUCUGUCCCUGAUGAGCAGAAUGACCAUGAGUUUGUUGCUUAGCUUCUCUGUGCCUCAGUUUCCUUAUUGAGAUAACGUGCUCUCUUCACAGGAUUGCUUAGAGGAUUAACCCUAAAACUAUGGAGAAACUGAGGAACCCAGUCCCUUUUCCUGGCACACAGUGCUCGAUAGUCUUGGCUGAUGUUAGAUAUCCUUUCUGUGCACUUUGGUUUCUUUCCUAGGAGAAUAUAAUGGGGAAAGGUAGAGGGCGAAGAUGAAUCUAGAGUCAGGAGUGCUGGGUUCUCAGCUACUAACCACCUGCUUACCAAGGCAGGUUGGUCUCCCCCUCAGAGUCUUACUUCUAAAAUUUAAAGGCGGGGGUGAGGUAUGACUUUCCUUCCAGCUUUAUAAUUCUGUUUCCAAGGAAUUCCACCUGUUCUUCUCAUUGGCUUAUCCCAGUGUAUUAGUCUGUUUUCAUGCUGCUGAUAAAGAAAUACUUGAGACUGGGCAAUUUACAAAAGAAAGAUGUUUAAUUGGACUUACAGUUCUACGUGGCUGGGGAAGCCUCACAAUCAUGGUGGAAGGCAAGGAGGAGCAAGUCACAUCGUACGUGGAUGGUGUCGGGCAAACAGAGUGAGCUUGUGCAGGCAAACUCCAGUUUUUUAAAACCAUCAGAUCUCAUGAGCAUCAUUCACUAUCAUGAGAACAGCACAGGAAAGACCCACCCCCCAUAAUUCAAUCGCCUCCCACCGGGUUCCUCCCAUGACAUGUGGGAAUUGUGAGAGUUACAAUUCAAGAUGAGAUUUGGGUGCGGACACAGCCAAACCGUAUCACCGGCAUUUAUUUUCUCUGAGGUUUAAGAAAUUUCUCCUCUUAUCUGACUGUAAAUCUUUCUCAUUAGUUAAAGUCCACUUCUUUUUCUGCUUUUGUGUGAAAACAAUAGGUUGGUGGCCCAUUUUAUAGACUCAGAAACUGAGGCACAUUGAGAACCAUCUGCUCUCCAGACGGAACAACCCCAGUCCCUUUAAUAUGCCCUUGCAUUGGCCUUUCACUUCCCUGUGACCCCUGCCCACUGCCUGUCCCAGGAAUCUCCACCUCUCCUGCAUUUAGACACCCACGUGGGUCACUCCUGCCAGCCAGGCACAGAGCUCGGCCCCUCAGAUCUGUCUAAUACUCUCAGUGCCUGUAGGGAAGCAGAUCUUGUUACAUAUCUUGUUUUCCAGCUAGAGAAGCAGGUUCCUGGAGCCCGGACUGAGGGUGGAGUGAGGUUCCAGUGGGUAACUUGUGAGACCCCCUAAUGCGGUGAGGCAGAGCCCCAGACCCUGCAACCCUUUGGGGGUCAGCCUUUCCUGGAGAAAAACUUUCCCCCAGCACUUACCAAGCCUCUCACCCAGCAGCUGGCGUGAGGGAUGUUGCUCCUCUGCCAAACCCACACUCUGGGGUGAACACAGCUCUGGGCAUGCCAGCUGCUGCCCUGGCCCCUUUACUGCCACUCAGGAAGACACACGUGAGUGCCAUUCGGUGCCAGUGUCCUUGUCAGGGAGCAAGCUUCAAACCUGUCCCCUUCCUACAGGCCCCUGCUCAGCUCCAGCACUAGCACAAUGCAGAAUCAAUAUCUAUUUGCGGGGAUUAUUGAAUGUCCAUCUCCUCUACUAAAAUAAAC